rnacentral:misc_RNA from 1 species
UUUCCGUAGGUGAACCUGCGGAAGGAUCAUUCAUAAUAAGUGUUUUAUGGCACUUUUUUAAAUCCAUAUCCACCUUGUGUGCAAUGUCAGGGUUGAUUUUUCUCUCGAGAGGAUCAACCCCAAACAUCAACUAUAUCUCAUCUCUUUGUCUGAAAAAUAUUAUGAAUAAAACAAUUCAAAAUACAACUUUCAACAACGGAUCUCUUGGCUCUC